GUGUUUUUGAAAAGUUAAACCCGAAGGUAAAAGUCACAUGGAAGACAUGCUUUCUCGUGAAUACUGAAACUGGAAAACAAUGGCAAGGAUUUUGCUCCCCUCCAAACAGAAAAAGGUGAUAUGAAGACGGUGGUCACCGGGUACAGUGCCACUAUAAGAUGACUUCAAAGUGCGGCCAUUUCACCGAGAUAGCAUGUCCGGGACACGGUAGAAACGCCCCUCCUGGUCACAUCAUUCUGACAACGGAUUAACCAGCUGUGUCCAAGGACACUCCACCAGAAAGAGAGGCUGCUUGUCAAACGGGUUUGUCUAUAGUUCACGAACCUAUGUCCUUGGAUUAUCGAGGAUGCAGACAAAUACGCACAGUGCAUAUUAUAUACGGACAGACGCCUUCACACGUAGAGCGGAAAUAUUAACAAAAAUAUAACCAUCAGUGAUCUUGGGAAAUAUUAAGAAAGGAGCAAUGAUUUGCAGAAAGAGCUGCAAAUACCGCAAUACCCUCAAUUUUGUUUACAUCCCUAAAUUAGACUUUGACUUUAAACAUAUUUUAUUAACCAGAAUUGGAAAAUAAGAUUUGGCAUAAGUUAUUACAACUUAUGAAGCAAUCUCCACGAAAUUAGACUGGAUCUUUGUUGGUUGAUUUCAUAGAAAAGAAAUAUAUACAUGCACAACAGUGCUGUUAAAAACAUCUGUCCUUACGGUUUGACAGGACACUAACAGGAAUAUAAUUUUGCAAUAGCGAUACACAUAAAUAUGACAAUGCCGUGUUUUGCCGGUACAGUAUCGCAACGUGGUGACCACGUGGAACUGUACCGGCAAAACAUGUUAUUGUUUACAUCCCUAAAUUAGACUGGAUCUUUGUUGGUUGAUUUCAUAGAAAAGAAAUACAUACAUGCACAACAGUGCUGUUAAACACAUUUGUCCUUACGUUUUGACAGGACACUGACAGGAAUAUUAUUGGCAAUAGCGAUAUACAUAAAUAAUAUAAAAUAUGACCACGGUACAGUAUCGCCACGUGCACGUGGAACUGUACCGGCAAAACAUGGUAUUGUUUUGUCGGUACCUCGUGGUCACCAUGGCACUGCCACCACCGCAAAAACGAUAACUUUCAGUAAACGGUGUCGAGCGCUUUUAAUAUAUAAAUUCAGAAUAUGGCAAUGAACUACUUACCUUACAU
rnacentral:lncRNA from 1 species